GCUGGGCAUGGUGGCGCGUGCCUGUAAUCCCAGCUACUCAGGAGGCUGAGGCAGGAGAAUUGCCUGAACCCAGGAGGCGGAGGUUGCGGUGAGCCGAGAUCGUGCCAUUGCACUCCAGCCUGGGUAACAAGAGGGGAACUCCGUCUCAAAAAAAAAAAAAAAAAGACAAGAGUUUCACUGUUGUUAUCCAGGCUGGAGUGCAAUGGCACAAUCUCGGCUCACCGCAACCUCCACCUCCUGGGUUCAGGCAAUUCUCCUGCCUCAG
ensembl:misc_RNA Metazoa_SRP Metazoan signal recognition particle RNA